rfam:Schistosoma rodhaini strain Burundi genome assembly, scaffold: SROB_scaffold0001006
AUCCAGCUGACGAGUCCCGAAUAGAACGAAACGUGCGUCAAACUAGAU